rnacentral:lncRNA from 1 species
AAAGAAAAAUCCAAUAAAAAUUGUCUUUCUUGUUUAUUUUAAAUUAAUUUUCGUAAUUUAUUUUAUUAAAUCAAAAAAAAAGAAAAUAUAAAUCAUUUUUUUUCCUUUUGUUGUUUGAAUUUUUCGAUUUUAUUUUUAAAAGUAAAAAGAAAUAUCAAAUUUCCAUAAUUUUUGUGUCUUGACUCUUUCUUGCCAUAUUUGUUGAUCUAAAGGUUGAUACACUUUCUUCUUCUUUGUUUUAGGACAAACGAAUAAGAAGGACCAGAGCAAUGGCGUCCUAUUAUAUGGAGAAAGAAGAGAUUGACUCCUAUGAAGGUGAUUGGAACCAAGACGAGGAUGAGUACGAAGACAUGAUAGAAGAGGAGAAUGACUAUGGGAGACAAACGUGGUAUGAGGAAUGUGUUUCCAGUUCUGAUUGUGGAGAAGAACCUGAUGGUGAAGAACUGGAGCCGGAGCCACCUGAUUGUUAUCCAUCUAGUCAACGUGCCGAGCCUUACACUUACAUGCCUCAAGCAACGACCAAAUGGAACCAACCAAGUUUAGGGUAUUAUGAGGACUGUGAGGGAUAUUACCAUGAGGAUCAACACUACCAUUCCCCACAUCGUGAAGAGAA